GACGUGGCUAUGACCACUUAGAUAUCUCCAGAGGGAUGGCGGGCAUUGCAGAUCUGAGGAUAGACAGAGCGAAACCAUAUUUCUCAGAUGGUGCUGUUGAAAUAUACGCGGGAGAGGCCAGUGAUGGCUUGGAUAGCCAAGAGGGUGGUUCAAAUAUGGACAAUGGAAUUGCAUUUCCCAUUUUUUACACCAGGGAUGUAGGUACACUUAAAGAUAUUUUUUCUAAGCAUUGGCACGUUUUAUCAGUUGACCCAACUAUUAAGAGCCUUACAGGUACUCGACCUAGAUUCGUUUACCGGAAUAAAAAGAACUUAAAGAGUUUGCUCUGCUACCCAAGGGUCCAUAAUGAUCCACCUGCUUUGUUGGGUCCCUA